AAGUUUAUUGUAAACUAUGUAGUGAACAAUAACCACAUGCUCUCCAAAAUGUUUGAUGUGUACAACAUAAUUGAAAUAAGUUUCAAGAGAGAUAGUGAGAGUUUAGGGACCAUGACUAAUGUAGUCAAAGGUGAAAGUCAAAUGAAGAAGAUAAAAUUAACUCCAAGGGAACAAACUUUCUUUAUGAAAGGAUGGACAUUGGAAGGGGUAUUUGCAAGAAAUGUCUUGCAAGUGUCAAGAACGCACCUUUCGAAGGUGUUGUAAAAUGUUCUUGAAUAGUUCAAAACAGUUGAUUCUUCUACUUGAAUGCUUGAUUCCGUAUUAGUAACUAUGUUUUACAAUCGUUGUAAAAGUGUGACUAAUAAGAAGUAGAAGAUUAAUGAGAGAAGAGAAAGUACUUCACAUUCGAAACGUGAAUCAAAUGUAGAUCUCUGCGAAAGCAGAUGGUACUUACUUCCUCAUAUGAACUACCAAAGAAAUUGGAAAAAUGUAGAUUGUCUUUAUAUUCCAAUUUUAAGGAACUAAAUUCCGUCACUAUGUGAAAUGGAUAAAUGUUUUGUUUGACAAAACAUUGUUCUUUAUUAAUCAAUGAUUGGAUUAUAGUAAUCUAAUUAAUUAUCUCUAUAGUAGAGAUAAUAUGGUAGUGUUAACUGUUUAGAAAAUAAUGAUGCUUAAAACCCAAAAGGUUGCAAGGUAGUGACUAAUCCCAACUAAAGUUGUGAUACCUCUAAAACAUAAAUUACGAGUUGGUCAUAGAUGGACGCUUUGGAUCAUUAGAUCCGGAUCCAAUACCUUCUUGUUAAAAUUGUAUAGAGGCGAAAUGUUCGAAUCUUUAUU
rnacentral:lncRNA from 1 species